UAUUAGUCAAUGCUCGCAAGAGUGAACUAGCUAACUGAAAUCAUAGAAUUUUUUAAAAUUCAUGAUGUCGUAAGGGAAAAUAAUGAUAAUACCUUACUAUUAGUGUUGUCCAAAUCUGGUGCCAGAAGACUCGGUAAGACCAGAAACGCAAACGUUAAUCAUCAUAAACAGGCGUAAAGGGUUUGUAGGCAGCUUUUAUCUGAUUAUGUAUUCAAAAUAAAGUAGUCUAAUUAAAAGCUAGAAUCAAAAAGAGGUUAUAGUGUAUAACGCCUAGAGGAGGGCUGAUAUCCUUAGAUCCUAGGCAGAAUACUAAGGGCGAAGGCCACUUUCCAUUAAUGAUUGACGCUGAGAAACGAAGGUUAGGGUAGGAAAUAGGAUUAGAUACCCCGGUACUCCUUUCUGUAAACGAUGAAUGGUAGUCAUUAGUUUUAAUAAAUAAUUCAAAAUAACUAGAGACGAAGUUAACACAAUAACCAUUCCGCCUUGUGAGUACUACUGCAAAGUAGAAAACAAAAAAAUUAGUCGGUCUCGAAGCAAACGGAGUGAAGCAUGUUAUUUAAUUCGAUAAUCC
rnacentral:rRNA from 1 species